UGGGGAAUAUUGGACAAUGGGGGGAACCCUGAUCCAGCCAUGCCGCGUGUGUGAAGAAGGCCUUAUGGUUGUAAAGCACUUUAAGCGAGGAGGAGGGUACUGGUAUUAAUACUACCAGCUACUGGACGUUACUCGCAGAAUAAGCACCGGCUAACUCUGUGCCAGCAGCCGCGGUAAUACAGAGGGUGCGAGCGUUAAUCGGAUUUACUGGGCGUAAAGCGUGCGUAGGCGGCUAAUUGAGUCGGAUGUGAAAUCCCCGAGCUUAACUUGGGAAUUGCACUCGAUACUGGUUAGCUAGAGUGUGGGAGAGGAUGGUAGAAUUCCAGGUGUAGCGGUGAAAUGCGUAGAGAUCUGGAGGAAUACCGAUGGCGAAGGCAGCCAUCUGGCCUAACACUGACGCUGAGGUACGAAAGCAUGGGGAGCAAACAGG
rnacentral:rRNA from 1 species